CCCCCCUUCCUGCCCAUCGAUAUUGGAAACCCUCCCGAGCCUUCACAGGAGGAGGGAGGAAGGCAGGCAUGCUUGUCGCCUCCCCCGCCCCGUGAGAUCCGGCUACCGUGGCGCGCCCGCGCUUGCACAGAGCGCCCAGAAAGCCAGCUGCCAAGUUUGGGCCGCAUCCGAGAAGGCAUGACUAAGAAGACAGGAGGAGGCGUCGUCCACGGAGCAGGACCCGCCUGGGAGCCUUGCGCGUCUUUCCUCCGCUCGACCUUGGCUGGGGAGCAGCCGCGUGGAAGAGCGCCGCGGCCCGCGAGGGGCGUGUGUGCUUCAGCGCCUCGCUUUCUUCGCAGAGAAAGUUGCCUUUCGUGAUUUUGCACUUCCUGUUCAGCUGCCUCUCCUCCUCCGAUUGCUGCGAGGAAUAGACACGAAUUACGCGUCGCGCGCGCCUCCUCUUUCUGCCUCUCUGGGCUGGCUUUCUCGUUUCGAUCCCUUCCCCUGUUUGCAUCAGCCGCUGUCAGAAAGUCUCCUUGCGAAGCCAGAAGGGGAAGCACCGAGUAGUUGUUCUUCGGAGCUUGUCAGCUGCAGCGGAGACUGCUUCGCUUUUGCAGCACGAGAGGAAACCAGCUUGGCAGCCCAAUUGCAUGAUCUCCUCCCGCUGUUGUUGCUGCCUGGCCGAAGCGGGCAGAAGGACCUGGGCACCGGAUCGAGCCUGGCACUGCAGGGGGAGUCUCUUGGGCAAAGCCGCCUUGUGCACUUUUAAGUCAUUUCUGUGGCACCUUCUUCUUGCUUCCUCUCCCUGGGCACGCCGCUAAGAGGACAUGUCCCUCCACAGCUGUGCGAAGGAGAGGCAACUUUCGCCGCCAAGAAGCUCUGGAGAUUAUUGCUGAAGGGGGGGCAGAAGAGAUCCUGCAAGCUGAACGGCGACCGUUAAUUGUCUUUUUGCAAAGGCAUGGACUGGUCGGGACUCUAGAGGAUGCCAUCUAGAAAGGGGAGGUUUUGGCCCCUUUCCUGACCCGUCUCUUGUCCUUGGGGAUUGAAACAGCCACUCGGGUGGGAAAGCUUCCCCCUUCUUUUGACGUCUCUCUCUGCACUUGUCCCCUCCCUCUCUACCUUCGGAGUCUCCGGCGCAAGAUAGCUGGCGGAGGACUAGCAGAAGAACCUUGCUUGGGAGACCUUGUUGGGCAGGCGCCAAGUGGGCCUCUCCGGAACUUCGCGCGAGGGGGGCUGCCAAAGAGAUGGGAAGCACCGCCAUGGACACCAAGAAGAAAGACGCUUCUGCCAGUGGCAAGAAAAGCUCCAGCCAGAAGAAACGCAUGUUGCGAGUCCACAUCCCAGAUCUUAGCUCAUUUGCUAUGCCAUUUUUGGAUGGAGAUGUGGACAGUUCAGAGAAACAUGCUUCACGAAAGGCAGAAGAGAGCUACAGCACAGGCAGCCCUUCCAGAGGACUUUUCUCAAAGGGGCUCCAGAACCAACCUUCCAGCCCAGCUUCAGCCCCUGUCAAAUCCAAACACAGUCCGGGCUCUCCAAAAACAGUGUUCCCUUUCCCAUACCAGGAGUCUCCCCCUCGUUCGCCUCGUCGCAUGAGCUUCAGUGGGAUCUUCAGGUCCUCCUCCAAAGACUCUUCCUCCUCUGGCUCUAACCCAUCUACCUCCCCUGGGGGCAUCAAGUUCUUCUCCAGAUCAAGAAAAACCUCUGGCCUCUCUUCUUCCCCAUCGACUCCAACACAAGUGACCAAGCAACCAACAUUUCCGCUCGAAUCCUAUAAACAUGAACCCGAGAGGCUAGAAACACGGAUUCACUCUUCUCCCCUGGAUACAGGCCAGAGAGUCUGCUCACCCCCAGGAUAUAGCGUGGCCAGGCCCCCCACAUCAGUGCCCACCCCCUGUGCUACCUCAAAAGCAGCAGCUCCUCCACAGCCCGCGGCCGCCUCCGAAGGGAUGCUGGAGAAACUGGAGCUCGAGGAUGAAGCUGUUGGUGAAUCGGAAAGUGACAUUUACAUGCGAUUCAUGAAGUCACAUAAGUGUUACGACAUUGUUCCCACAAGCUCAAAGCUUGUAGUCUUUGACACUACUCUACAGGUAAAGAAGGCUUUCUUUGCCUUAGUGGCAAAUGGUGUCCGAGCAGCUCCACUGUGGGAGAGUAAAAAACAAAGUUUUGUAGGAAUGUUAACUAUUACAGAUUUCAUUAAUAUACUGCAUAGAUACUAUAAGUCUCCAAUGGUACAGAUCUAUGAAUUAGAGGAGCACAAGAUUGAAACGUGGAGGGAGCUUUAUUUACAAGAAACCUUUAAGCCUUUAGUGAAUAUUUCACCAGAUGCAAGCCUUUUUGAUGCUGUAUAUUCACUGAUCAAAAACAAAAUUCACAGAUUGCCAGUUAUUGACCCUGUGAGCGGAAAUGCACUUUAUAUACUUACCCAUAAAAGAAUCCUUAAGUUUCUCCAGCUUUUUGUGUCAGAAAUGCCAAAGCCUGCCUUUAUGAAGAAAAAUCUGGAUGAGCUUGGGAUAGGAACCUACCACAAUAUCGCCUUUAUACACCCAGACACUCCUAUCAUUAAAGCCUUGAAUAUAUUUGUAGAUAGAAGGAUAUCGGCUCUACCUGUUGUGGAUGAGUCAGGAAAAGUUGUAGAUAUUUAUUCCAAAUUUGAUGUAAUAAAUCUUGCUGCUGAAAAAACUUAUAAUAACUUAGAUAUCACAGUGACACAAGCCCUCCAACACCGCUCUCAGUAUUUUGAAGGUGUUGUGAAAUGCAAUAAGCUUGAAACUCUGGAGACCAUUGUGGAUCGGAUAGUUAAAGCUGAGGUGGGUAUGACUGUUCAAAUACAAGAGAAGAGGAGCUCUAAGUUACCUGACUGGUUCACCGAUUGGUGGUAGUGAAUGAAGCAGAUAGUAUUGUUGGUAUCAUCUCCCUAUCCGACAUCCUACAAGCAUUAGUGCUCACACCAGCAGGUGCCAAACAAAAGGAAGGUGAAACAGAAUGAUUGCUGUGGUCGUAUAAACCUUCGUAGAAGAACUUGAAUAAAGUUACUGGGUCAUGUUUGCCUCGAACACUGAUGGCAAUAGAGAAGAGCAAAAUGGUGAUGAGUGUGUGUAUGGGACUGAGUGAUGGGUAACUAGUCUAUUAUUUCCCAGUGAUUGUCGCAAAAAAGCAGCAUGACAAAAAGCUUAUGUAUUAACAAAAAAAAAUAGGCUUGCAUUUCAAAAUCUUUGCUGAAAGACCUCACAUGAUGUCCUUCAUCCAAAAUGCACUGUAGCCUGAAAUACCUUUUUUUUUUGUAUUUGAUAGAAGUCACUGGUUAGCAACAGAUAUCUGACAUAAGGCAAGUGUAUGGCAUAUUCAUAUCAUAGUGCCUUAUGUCAAAAAGCCAACAAUAUGUCAUCACUGUUGCCCAUCACAAUAAGAGGAAGUAUUGUGCUAAACAAGACACUGUAUUUGAAUGUUUGAGUUGCUAAACCUAAAACCAAAUCAGUUUCGGUUAUCAUUAGAUCUGUCAUAAAAGCUGUAAUUUUGAAUAUUGGUAGAUUACAUUAACUUUAAUGACAAUUUUUGUGUGUUUAUAAAUGUUGCAUUCUGAACAGAGAUGGUAAAACAAGACUGAUCUGAAACCAGCUUUAUUUAUUUUUAUUUUCUUGCAAUUUUUUACACAUCUUUGGUGGAUAGCUAAAACUUCACCAUAUCCAUUAAUAAAACAUUGAUUGUUAUAA